GUGAAUCAUCGAAUUUUUGAACGCAAAUUGCACUCUCCUCGGAGAGUAUGAGUGUUUGUGGGUCAGCCUAUAAAAAAUUGACACCGUUGCUGUUUCGCGGUGGUGAUCGUCGGAAAUUGGGUCAUCUUAAAUCUUUUGGUUUGAAGAGAUUUAAUAUUUUUUUUUUGGUUUCAUGAACGUUUCUA
rnacentral:misc_RNA from 1 species